ACUUAAAUUGAAGAGUUUGAUCAUGGCUCAGAUUGAACGCUGGCGGCAGGCCUAACACAUGCAAGUCGAACGGUAACAGGAAGCAGCUUGCUGCUUUGCUGACGAGUGGCGGACGGGUGAGUAAUGUCUGGGAAACUGCCUGAUGGAGGGGGAUAACUACUGGAAACGGUGGCUAAUACCGCAUAACGUCGCAAGACCAAAGAGGGGGACCUUCGGGCCUCUUGCCAUCAGAUGUGCCCAGAUGGGAUUAGCUUGUUGGUGAGGUAACGGCUCACCAAGGCGACGAUCCCUAGCUGGUCUGAGAGGAUGACCAGCCACACUGGAACUGAGACACGGUCCAGACUCCUACGGGAGGCAGCAGUGGGGAAUAUUGCACAAUGGGCGCAAGCCUGAUGCAGCCAUGCCGCGUGUAUGAAGAAGGCCUUCGGGUUGUAAAGUACUUUCAGCGGGGAGGAAGGUGUUGUGGUUAAUAACCGCAGCAAUUGACGUUACCCGCAGAAGAAGCACCGGCUAACUCCGUGCCAGCAGCCGCGGUAAUACGGAGGGUGCAAGCGUUAAUCGGAAUUACUGGGCGUAAAGCGCACGCAGGCGGUCUGUCAAGUCGGAUGUGAAAUCCCCGGGCUCAACCUGGGAACUGCAUUCGAAACUGGCAAGCUUGAGUCUCGUAGAGGGGGGUAGAAUUCC
rnacentral:rRNA from 1 species